GUUCUACCUUGACGAAUUGUAGUUUAAAGAAGUGUUUUCUGUUGGAGUUUUGGUAAAAGUUCUUUGGAAUAGGACAUCAUAGAGGGUGAGAAUCCCGUAUUUGACCAUUAUUUCCAACUUUGUGAUACACUUUCAAAGAGUCGGAUUGUUUGGGAAUGCAGUCCAAAAUGGGUGGUAAAUUUCAUCUAAAGCUAAAUACUGGCGAGAGACCGAUAGCGAACAAGUACCGUGAGGGAAAGAUGAAAAGAACUUUGAAAAGAGAGUUAAACAGUACGUGAAAUUGUCAAAAGGGAAGCGUUUGACACCAGUGUUGUUUUCUCGAAAAUCAAUUAAAAAUGGUGGGAUGUUGUGUUGUAUUGACUUUAUCAGCUUUCUGCACUUUUUUCCUAUCUUUUUU
rnacentral:rRNA from 1 species